ensembl:lncRNA
ACUGCUGCCUUUAACUCUCGGUCACUCUAAAUAUAGACUUAUAACUUUCUUGAACGCCCCUCACUCUCUCUCUCUCUCUCUCUCUCUCUCUCUCACUCUCUCACUUCUCUCUCUCUCUCUCUCUCUCUCUCUCUCUCUCUCUCUCUCUCUCUCUCUCUCUGUCUCUCAUGUUUCCAUGACUCAUUGGUGACACACGCACACUCUCUACAGCAGAAGCUGCAGCCUCUCUGUGAUGCAAUCUCUCCUUCUUUGCACAUACAGACUCCGUUUAGUGUUACAUAGGAAACACUGAGAACGUUUUAAACAAUCUAGAUCUACACAGUUUGGACUGCACACCCGUGGCUGGCGUGGCUCGGAGUUGUCGCUGUUCUCCUGGACGAUGCACAUAUCCAAUACCACUUGAUGCACAUCCAGGCCGACAGUAUGAAGACUGUGUGGCAGCCUUGAAUACAAAGUGAAUGAAACUAUAUCAGCCUUCACAAGCUCUGAUCAGUUGUUGUGGCUUCUACUCAUUCCUCUGAUUUUGGGAGUCAUCCUUAUCUGCUACAGCUGUCGCAAAUCACUCUGCAGGUCUAGAGGCCCUUCUGGACAAAGAGAGAAUGAGCUUGCAACACUGACCCCCAACAAGUCAGUUGACCCUUACUCGCCAAUAAGCUUUGAUGAGGCACCUAACCACAACAAACCCCUUAUCCCAGAUGGAACACUGAAUGGCAACACAGCACUGAACCUUAAUAUGUCAAUUAACCCCAACUCUCCAAAUUCCACCUCAACAGGAAAAAAUUUUAUGUAAUGAAGAGGAAUGCAACAAACUGAAGAAAAAGAGAAGAGGUCUGCAC